AACGAACGCUGGCGGCGUGCCUAACACAUGCAAGUCGAACGAGAAAGGGGCUUCGGCUCCGAGUAAAGUGGCGCACGGGUGAGUAACACGUGGGUAACCUGCCUCUAAGAUUGGGAUAACUCGUCGAAAGAUGAGCUAAUACCGAAUAAGACCACAGUUCCCGCGGGAACAGGGGUCAAAGGUAGCCUCUGCUUGCAAGCUAUCACUUAGAGAUGAGCCUGCGCACCAUUAGCUAGUUGGUAGGGUAACGGCCUACCAAGGCAAAGAUGGUUAGCUGGUCUGAGAGGAUGAUCAGCCACACUGGAACUGAGACACGGUCCAGACUCCUACGGGAGGCAGCAGUGGGGAAUAUUGCGCAAUGGGCGAAAGCUUGACGCAGCAACGCCGCGUGAGUGAUGAAGGCCUUCGGGUCGUAAAGCUUUGUCGGGAGGAACGAAUGCUCCUGAGGUUAACAGCCUCGGGAGGUGACGGUACCUUCAAAGGAAGCACCGGCUAACUCUGUG
rnacentral:rRNA from 1 species